AUUGAACGCUGGCGGCAGGCCUAACACAUGCAAGUCGAGCGAGCGGCGGACGGGUGAGUAAUGUUUGGGAAACCGCCUGAUGGAGGGGGAUAACUACUGGAAACGGUUGCCAAUACCGCAAACCCUUAGAUUGGACCAGAUUGGAUUAGCUAGUAUGUGGGGUAACGGCUCACCUAGGCGACGAACCCCAGCUGGUCUGAGAGGAUGACCAGCCACACUGGAACUGAGACACGGUCCAGACUCCUACGGGAGGCAGCAGUGGGGAAUAUUGCACAAUGGGCGCAAGCCUGAUGCAGCCAUGCCGCGUGUAUGAAGAAGGCCUUCGGGUUGUAAAGCACUUUCAGCGGGGAGGCGUUACCCGCAGAAGAAGCACCGGCUAACUCCGUGCCAGCAGCCGCGGUAAUUC
rnacentral:rRNA from 1 species